rnacentral:siRNA from 1 species
AUGCCAUCUCCAUUGGUGAGAUA